rnacentral:rRNA from 1 species
GAGUUUGAUCCUGGCUCAGAUUGAACGCUGGCGGCAGGCCUAACACAUGCAAGUCGAGCGCGAAAGCACUUCGGUGUGAGUAGAGCGGCGGACGGGUGAGUAACGCGUAAGAAUCUACCUGGUAGUGGGGGACAACUCGGGGAAACUCGAGCUAAUACCGCAUACGCCCUACGGGGGAAAGCGGGGGACCUUCGGGCCUCGCGCUAUCAGAUGAGCUUGCGUUGGAUUAGCUAGUUGGUGAGGCAAUGGCUCACUAAGGCGACGAUCCAUAGCUGGUCUGAGAGGAUGAUCAGCCACACCGGGACUGAGACACGGCCCGGACUCCUACGGGAGGCAGCAGUGGGGAAUAUUGCGCAAUGGGCGAAAGCCUGACGCAGCCAUGCCGCGUGUGUGAAGAAGGCCUUAGGGUUGUAAAGCACUUUCAAUUGGGAGGAAAAGCUGACGGUUAAUACCCGUCAGCCCUGACGUUACCUUUAGAAGAAGCACCGGCUAACUCCGUGCCAGCAGCCGCGGUAAUACGGAGGGUGCAAGCGUUAAUCGGAAUUACUGGGCGUAAAGCGCGCGU